rnacentral:rRNA from 1 species
AGAGUUUGAUCCUGGCUCAGAUUGAACGCUGGCGGCAUGCCUUACACAUGCAAGUCGAACGGCAGCACGAGAGCUUGCUCUUGGUGGCGAGUGGCGAACGGGUGAGUAAUAUAUCGGAACGUACCCUAGAGUGGGGGAUAACGUAGCGAAAGUUACGCUAAUACCGCAUACGAUCUACGGAUGAAAGUGGGGGAUCGCAAGACCUCAUGCCCAUGGAGCGGCCGAUAUCUGAUUAGCUAGUUGGUGGGGUAAAAGCUCACCAAGGCGACGAUCAGUAGCUGGUCUGAGAGGACGACCAGCCACACUGGAACUGAGACACGGUCCAGACUCCUACGGGAGGCAGCAGUGGGGAAUUUUGGACAAUGGGCGCAAGCCUGAUCCAGCAAUGCCGCGUGAGUGAAGAAGGCCUUCGGGUUGUAAAGCUCUUUUGUCAGGGAAGAAACGGUGGACUCUAAUACAGAUCACUAAUGACGGUACCUGGAGAAUAAGCACCGGCUAACUACGUGCCAGCAGCCGCGGUAAUACGUAGGGUGCAAGCGUUAAUCGGAAUUACUGGGCGUAAAGCGUGCGCAGGCGGUUGUGCAAGACAGAUGUGAAAUCCCCGGGCUCAACCUGGGAAUUGCAUUUGUGACUGCACGGCUAGAGUGUGUCAGAGGGGGGUAGAAUUCCACGUGUAGCAGUGAAAUGCGUAGAGAUGUGGAGGAAUACCGAUGGCGAAGGCAGCCCCCUGGGAUAACACUGACGCUCAUGCACGAAAGCGUGGGGAGCAAACAGGAUUAGAUACCCUGGUAGUCCACGCCCUAAACGAUGUCUACUAGUUGUCGGGUCUUAAUUGACUUGGUAACGCAGCUAACGCGUGAAGUAGACCGCCUGGGGAGUACGGUCGCAAGAUUAAAACUCAAAGGAAUUGACGGGGACCCGCACAAGCGGUGGAUGAUGUGGAUUAAUUCGAUGCAACGCGAAAAACCUUACCUACCCUUGACAUGUCUGGAAUCCUUGAGAGAUCAGGGAGUGCUCGAAAGAGAAUCAGAACACAGGUGCUGCAUGGCUGUCGUCAGCUCGUGUCGUGAGAUGUUGGGUUAAGUCCCGCAACGAGCGCAACCCUUGUCAUUAGUUGCUACGAAAGGGCACUCUAAUGAGACUGCCGGUGACAAACCGGAGGAAGGUGGGGAUGACGUCAAGUCCUCAUGGCCCUUAUGGGUAGGGCUUCACACGUCAUACAAUGGUACAUACAGAGGGUCGCCAACCCGCGAGGGGGAGCUAAUCCCAGAAAGUGUAUCGUAGUCCGGAUUGUAGUCUGCAACUCGACUACAUGAAGUUGGAAUCGCUAGUAAUCGCGGAUCAGCAUGUCGCGGUGAAUACGUUCCCGGGUCUUGUACACACCGCCCGUCACACCAUGGGAGCGGGUUUCACCAGAAGUGGGUAGCCUAACCGCAAGGAGGGCGCUCACCACGGUGGGAUUCGUGACUGGGGUGAAGUCGUAACAAGGUA